UCAAACUUGGUCAUUUAGAGGAAGUAAAAGUCGUAACAAGGUUUCCGUAGGUGAACCUGCGGAAGGAUCAUUAUUGAAUAAUUUGCCUUGAUGGGUUGUCGCUGGCCUCUUGAGGCAUGUGCACACCUGUCUUGACUCUAUUCAUCCACCUGUGCACUUAUUGUAGUUCCUUAUUCUCUGGAUUUGAAGUCUGCCUUCUGGCUUUCUUCUUGUUGGCCCUUGUGCUUUGUCAGAGACUCUGAGGAGCUAUGUUUCUUAUCAUAAACUAUGUAUGUUGUCAGAAUGUAUUCAAUGGGCUAUUGUGCCUAUAUAAAUCUAUACAACUUUCAGCAACGGAUCUCUUGGCUCUCGCAUCGAUGAAGAACGCAGC
rnacentral:misc_RNA from 1 species